AAAGCUGAAUCUGAAUAAAUAAAUAAAUUAAUGAUGGUUACAUCUUCCAUGAUGGAUUCCACUUUGACAUUUUUGUGAAUUAAAAUGAUGGGGAAUGUGGCCACUAUCUUCUUCUGUCAGGUUGCCACUUCAUUUCAAAAUGGCUCAUAUAUGUCAGAAAUGCUUAGAGAUGCCUGAAGGUCAGGCUUUAUCAAGAAAGAAGGAGAACUAGAAGCUUUCGAGGGGCAGGAAAAAAUAUUCUCCUCCUGUGGUUACCUCAAACUCUGUUUCAGUGGGUGAACACUACUGUGAACUUACCCACAUUUGAAAGUGGUAUGAAGAUCUGGUUAUCUGAGAGAAAAGAUCUGUCAAUGAAAAGGGAUUUGAUCAGAUUAUGUUGAUGUUCUAAAAUACAAUCAAAUCACAGGAAAAUACUGCCUUGAGUAAAAAAGUGCAAAGGAGAAGCUAGGAGCAGUUUGUGGUCAGGCUAAAAAGACCCACUGCAGAACUGUGUUGGUUGGCACCUGCCUGGUCAUCAGGAGAGUAAGGAAAUGGAAGCUUGAAUUUGUCUCUUUUUCAUCUCAUAUAUAUAUCCUUAACAUGGACAUAUUUUUCCCCUAUAUGAAGCACUUUGAAAUGAUCUGAUUUCAUAAUGAAAUGGAAAUGGAACAUUUUUGUAAUCUCAGAACAUUUCAUAGGUCACGCAGUUCAUUCCCUGCUUAGACCUUGUUGUGCCCGUGUCUUAAUCAAGCUCUAUCCAUUAAUAUAAUUCAUUCAGAAGUAAUGCACAUAGAAGGAGCCUGCAAGUAUUACCAGUAAAAAGAUAAACAAGCUAAUUGCUCUGUGAAGUGAUCAGUUUAUUCUUGUAAUGAACAACAUAUAAAUAAACCUUAACCUACCUUCAUAACAUUUGUUCACCAUCUUCUUUCUGUCUUGAGAUAUGAAGAAUCUUGUAAGCAUUAAUCUUUAAUUCAGGAAGUCAUUUGAGUACAUGCUUAAAUGGCUCUUCUGAAAAGGGCUUAACUGAAACACUUGUAUAAGUGUUUUCCUAAUUAGAGACUAAUUGAUGAAACCUCCUGACCUCCUUGUGAAGGGAUAUUUUUCAGAUGGGAAAAUGGAAGCCAGACUAGCUUUCUUGCCAAGGACUUCACAGAGAGCUAGAGUCAG
ensembl:lncRNA